rnacentral:rRNA from 1 species
ACAGAGGGUGCUAGCGUUGUUCGGAAUGACUGGGCGUAAAGGGCGCGUAGGCGGUUUUUCAAGUCAGAUGUGAAAGCCCCGGGCUUAACCUGGGAACUGCAUUUGAUACUGUGAGACUGGAGUACGAGAGAGGAAAGCGGAAUUCCUAGUGUAGAGGUGAAAUUCGUAGAUAUUAGGAGGAACACCAGAGGCGAAGGCGGCUUUCUGGCUCGUAACUGACGCUGAGGCGCGAAAGCGUGGGGAGCAAACAG